CUACGUGCCAGCAGCCGCGGUAAUACGGAAGGUCCAGGCGUUAUCCGGAUUUAUUGGGUUUAAAGGGAGCGUAGGCGGAUUAUUAAGUCAGUGGUGAAAGACGGUGGCUCAACCAUCGUUAGCCAUUGAAACUGGUAGUCUUGAGUGCAGACAGGGAUGCUGGAACUCGUGGUGUAGCGGUGAAAUGCUUAGAUAUCACGAUGAACUCCAAUCGCGAAGGCAGGUGUCCGGGCUGCAACUGACGCUGAGGCUCGAAAGUGUGGGUAUCAAACAGGAUUAGAUACCCUGGUAGUCCACACAGUAAACGAUGUAUACUCGCGGUUUGCGAUAGACAGUAAGCCGCCAAGCGAAAGCAUUAAGUAUACCACCUGGGGAGUACGCCGGCAACGGUGAAACUCAAAGGAAUUGACGGGGGCCCGCACAAGCGGAGGAACAUGUGGUUUAAUUCGAUGAUACGCGAGGAACCUUACCCGGGCUUGAAC
rnacentral:rRNA from 1 species